UAUAUACUCCCUCCGUCCAAAAAUACUUGUCAGGAAAAUUAAUAAAAAUGAAUGUAUCUAGAAUUAAAAUACGUCUAGAUACCUCCAUUUCUCAUCUAGAUACCUCCAUUUCUCAUACGAGCAUUUCUGGACGGAGGGAGUACAUA
rfam:Triticum urartu cultivar G1812 contig756587, whole genome shotgun sequence.